rnacentral:pre_miRNA from 1 species
UGUCUCCCAGCCCAAGGUGCAGUGCUGCAUCUCUGGUCAAUUGUGAGUCUGAGAUGAAGCACUGUAGCUCGGGAAGGGGGAAAC